GACGAACGCUGGCGGCGUGCUUAACACAUGCAAGUCGAACGGAAAGGCCCUGCUUUUGUGGGGUGCUCGAGUGGCGAACGGGUGAGUAACACGUGAGUAACCUGCCCUUGACUUUGGGAUAACUUCAGGAAACUGGGGCUAAUACCGGAUAGGAGCUCCUGCAGCAUGGUGGGGGUUGGAAAGUUUCGGCGGUUGGGGAUGGACUCGCGGCUUAUCAGCUUGUUGGUGGGGUAGUGGCUUACCAAGGCUUUGACGGGUAGCCGGCCUGAGAGGGUGACCGGCCACAUUGGGACUGAGGUACGGCCCAGACUCCUACGGGAGGCAGCAGUGGGGAAUAUUGCACAAUGGGCGGAAGCCUGAUGCAGCAACGCCGCGUGCGGGAUGACGGCCUUCGGGUUGUAAACCGCUUUCGCCUGUGACGAAGCGUGAGUGACGGUAAUGGGUAAAGAAGCACCGGCUAACUACGUG
rnacentral:rRNA from 1 species